ensembl:lncRNA
UAUAUAUAUAUAUAUAUAUAUAUAUUUGGAUUAGAUAAUAAGAUGGGAAAUGAUUAUUUUAAUUAAUCUACUGUUCAUACAAAAGAAGAGCCUCAUUCAUCAACAUAACAAACAGUCAUGGCGUGUACAGGAAGUGUGUGGGAAAUGUAAAAAAUCUGAAUGUUAACGUUAAGAUUUAUUUAUUUAUUUAUUUAUUUAUUUAUUUAUUUUGUAUGACAAUGACAGAACCACAUCUCUCUCCAUCAUCAUCAUCAUCAUCAUCAUCAUCAUCUCCCUCGGUUGAAUUCUUCUGAAGGAAGGGGAUCAGGUUCACGUUUUGACCCAAACCCCCGUUACAUUUUUCACGAACGCUGUCCUGAGACACAGGCUGUUGUGUAGACGUACAGUAAAUCGUGUGUUUAUUAGAUAACUCGAUCGGCGCAGCAGACGAACCGGUGUAUCAGUGAUAUAGACGGUGACGGUGGAGGCGCGGUGGUAGCGUCCGGAACGCUCCAUUGUGAGCUCGGGUUACUCUCUGUCUGGAUCCGUGUGUGUGCGGAAUAAAACACGGCCUCGGGGUGCGAGUGACUGCGUGAGGGAGUGUGUGAGUAAUAAGUGUGUGUGUGUGAGUGAGUGUGUGAGUAAUAAGUGUGUGUGAGUGAGUGUGUGAGUAAUAAGUGUGUGUGUGAGUGAGUGUGUGAGUAAUAAGUGUGUGUGAGUGAGUGUGUGAGUAAUAAGUGUGUGUGAGUGAGUGUGUGAGUAAUAAGUGUGUGUGUGAGUGAGUGUGUGAGUAAUAUGUGUGUGUGAGUGAGUGUGUGAUAAUAGUGUGUGUGUGUGUGAGUGAGUGUGUGAGUAAUAAGUGUGUGUGAGUGUGUGAGUAAUAAGUGUGUGUGAGUGAGUGAGUGUGUGAGUAAUAAGUGUGUGCGAGUAAUAGUGUGUGUGUGUGAGUGAGUGUGUGAGUAAUAAGUGUGUGUGUGUGAGUGAGUGUGUGAGUAAUAUGUGUGUGUGAGUGAGUGUGUGUGAGUAAUAAGUGUGUGUGUGUGAGUGAGUGUGUGAGUAAUAAGUGUGUGUGUGUGUGAGUGAGUGUGUGAGUAAUAAGUGUGUGUGUGUGAGUGAGUGUGUGAGUAAUAAGUGUGUGUGUGUGUGAGUGAGUGUGUGAGUAAUAAGUGUGUGUGUGAUUGAGUGUGUGAGUAAUAAGUGUGUGUGUGUGAGUGAGUGUGUGAGUAAUAAGUGUGUGUGUGAGUGAGUGAGUGUGUGAGUAAUAAGUGUGUGUGUGUGAGUGAGUGUGUGAGUAAUAAGUGUGUGUGUGUGAGUGAGUGUGUGAGUAAUAAGUGUGUGUGUGAGUGAGUGUGUGAGUAAUAAGUGUGUGUGUGUGUGAGUGAGUGUGUGAGUAAUAAGUCUGUGUG